rnacentral:rRNA from 1 species
AAGUCCCGCAAGGGAUUAGUAGAGUGGCAAACGGGUGAGUAACACGUGGGUGACCUGCCUUCGAGUGGGGGAUAACGUCCCGAAAGGGACGCUAAUACCGCAUAACAUCCUGCCUUUUAAGAGGUGGAGAUCAAAGCCGGGGAUCGCAAGACCUGGCGCUGGAAGAGGGGCCCGCGUCCGAUUAGCUAGUUGGUGGGGUAAUGGCUCACCAAGGCAUCGAUCGGUAUCCGGCCUGAGAGGGCGGACGGACACACUGGGACUGAGACACGGCCCAGACUCCUACGGGAGGCAGCAGUGGGGAAUUGUUCGCAAUGGGCGCAAGCCUGACGACGCAACGCCGCGUGGAGGAUGAAGACCUUCGGG